GUUCGGAACGGACGCUAAUACCGCAUACGUCCUACGGGAGAAAGCACGGGGACCUUCGGGCCUUGCGCUAUCAGAUGAGCCUAGGUCGGAUUAGCUAGUUGGUGAGGUAAUGGCUCACCAAGGCUACGAUCCGUAACUGGUCUGAGAGGAUGAUCAGUCACACUGGAACUGAGACACGGUCCAGACUCCUACGGGAGGCAGCAGUGGGGAAUAUUGGACAAUGGGCGAAAGCCUGAUCCAGCCAUGCCGCGUGUGUGAAGAAGGUCUUCGGAUUGUAAAGCACUUUAAGUUGGGAGGAAGGGCAUUAACCUAAUACGUUAGUGUUUUGACGUUACCGACGGAAUAAGCACCGGCUAACUCUGUGCCAGCAGCCGCGGUAAUACAGAGGGUGCAAGCGUUAAUCGGAAUUACUGGGCGUAAAGCGCGCGUAGGUGGUUUGUUAAGUUGAAUGUGAAAUCCCCGGGCUCAACCUGGGAACUGCAUCCAAAACUGGCAAGCUAGAGUAUGGUAGAGGGUAGUGGAAUUUCCUGUGUAGCGGUGAAAUGCGUAGAUAUAGGANAGGAACACCAGUGGCGANGGCGACUACCUGGACUGAUACUGACACUGUAGGUGCGAAAGCGUGGGGAGCAAANAGGAUUAGAUACCCUGGUAGUCCACGCCGUAAACGAUGUCAACUAGCCNGUUGGGAGUCUUGAACUCUUAGUGGCGCAGCUAACGCAUUAAGUUGACCGCCUGGGGAGUACGGCCGCAAGGUUAAAACUCAAAUGAAUUGACGGGGGCCCGCACAAGCGGUGGAGCAUNGUGGUUUAAUUCGAAGCAACGCGAAGAACCNUUACCAGGCCNUUGACAUNCCAANUGAANCUUUCUANGANGAUAGAUUGGUNGCCUUCGGGAACUNCUGAGACANGGUGCUGCAUGGCUGUCGUCAGCUCNGUNGUUGUGAAAUGUUGGGUUAAGUCCCGUNAACGAGNCCGCAACCCCNUAUCCUUNAUUUGNCCAGCGAGUAAUGUCGGGAANCUCUAAGGAGACNUGCCGGUGACAAACCGGANGGAAGGUGGGGACNGACGUCAAGUCAUCNANUNNGGCCCUUANCGUGUNAGGGCUACNACACGUGNCUNACAAUGGCGCAUANNCAGAGUGNCUNGCGANACCUGCGAAGGUAAGCGAAUCACUUAAAGUGCGUCGUAGUCCGGAUUGGAGUCUGCAACUCGACUCCAUGAAGUCGGAAUCGCUAGUAAUCGCGUAUCAGAAUGACGCGGUGAAUACGUUCCCGGGCCUUGUACACACCGCCCGUCACACCAUGGGAGUGGGUUGCUCCAGAAGUAGAUAGUCUAACCCUCGGGAGGACGUUUACCACGGAGUGAUUCAUGACUGGGGUGAAGUCGUAACAAGGUAACCCAUCAC
rnacentral:rRNA from 1 species